rnacentral:tRNA from 1 species
UGGGCUAUAGCCAAGCGGUAAGGCAGCGGAUUUUGAUUCCGUGAUUCCGUUGGUUCGAAUCCAACUAGCCCAG